AUGCUAUAGAAUUUGGAAUAAAUUUGAUACCAAAAACCUGUCUUUGCUUUUAUUCAAUACCAAUAGGUUUCUCAAGAACAAAAUAUAAAGAUCACAAGUUUAAGCAAUAAACCCUUUUCCUAAUUGCUAAUUCUCUUGAUCUCUCUUUAUCUCUUUGCUCUUCUCUCUUUGAUCGGAUGAUCUUUCCCUGCUGUAGAAGCUCUUCUUAUAUAAUCAUAAACUAGACCCAAUCCUCUCUGAAAAAGGAUUAUUUCCAUUCUUGCAAAACACGAGACCGUCUUUGGUGUUUCCUUUUCCUGAAAACAUUAACCGACAAAGCAUGGUUUGGUCUUUUGUAAGUGAGCUGGAAUUGGGCCAGAAGUGGGAUUGGGCCCAUCUCUUCACAAUCUCCACCUUGGGCCCAACUCCAUACUUCUAUUGCGUCUUCUCGUUGACGGAGAAUCCGUCGUCUUCAUCGUCAACGUCUCUCACUUGGAAGCAAAUAUCCAGAAGCAUGCCUUUUAAUAUAAACCUUCACAACUUAUCCUUUGUUGUAAUCAAAGUUACAAACUGACUUCUUCACCAACCAAAAUAGUUCCUCCACCAUCUUCUAUGUCGUUUCAGCUGAUUUGUCUGCCGAUUCUUUUCAAUUCCAGCCGGUGAAUCCAUCACCAACGACUCUGACCACCUGACUCGUCAAUUAGUCUUUCCAGGAAGCUGCGAAUUGAUCCCCUAGAGCCACCGUUUGAUUUUCAUCCUCCUAUAAAAAAUUCAGAUUAAUGAAGCUACUCCUAUAAACCACCAUGGUUUUUCAGCUGCUUCAAUGAGUUCAGCUCUAAUCCGUAAGAUUCAACCACUAUGCGCAUUCUCUGAUGGUUUCUCAUCGUUUAUGGAUCCGUCACCGCUAGACGACCCUUUCGUUAAGGAUAAUUAGAAAAACAAGUUUCACCGGAGUUCUGCAGUUUUCCACUUCUUGGACAAAAUUCGCUGCUUCCUCAACCUAUUGACGAUGACUUUCCUUUUGUUUCUUCGACGAUCCCGUUGUGCUUCUCAUGUACCAGAGAUACUCGUCUCCCUUCACCAUUGACGGUGUUUAAGACGUUCUCUCAUCAACCUUCCCCUUCCUUGUUUGGCGACCCGUUGCAAUUGUUUUUUAGCCUGAGAUACUCGUCUCCCUUCACCAUUCUUGAUGUUUAAGACGUUCUCUCAGCUGCUCCACCUUGAACUGAAACAUCCACCUCGUCUUAUCCGUCACAGGUAACCUUUCUAAAUCCUUUUCAUUAUCGAUAAGAAACAAUAGUAGUUCCUUACUCAUUAUUUCUUCUUGUGCGAGGUGUCUCGAUAAUGACGUUACCUGUGACGCUUUUCUCCUAUUAGUGGACAUUGGGAAGUUCACAGCAAAGCUGCAACUUCUGAUCAGUGAGCUGGAAUUGGGCCAGAAGUGGGAUUGGGCCCAUCUCUUCACAGUAAACGACGGCGUUUGGUUUAGGUUCCAUGGAGGAAAUAAGUUGAGAGAGGCUUCGAGAGACGUUUUCUUCGAAUUUUGCCAAGUACUCGGAAGAUACUUCGCUGGAUAAAUGGCCUUCCUCGAAGCCGUCGUCUAGGGGGACGAAA